ensembl:snoRNA W05G11.7 ncRNA
GUGACAUUCUGUGCCACAGCCAACCUUCUUACAGGUUGCGCCAACCUGCCAACUCUGGCGGACGCUGAGAAGCGGCGCUCGGGCACCGGUGGCGCAGUCGGUAAGAGGAUGGGCUGUGGCGCAGA